UCUUUCCCUGGAAAAAUUUGAGAAUACUUAUUCCUAAUGGAAACAUCCUUUGCAUUUCCCUGCAAGAAAACUUCGUCAAAGUCUACUCUCCAGUCUUUCCUCUACUUUUCCUUCCUCACCCGUUUCCUUCUUUUUAAGCCCAUCUCUGCUUCAUAUAUUCACAAGCUUCUCAAGUUCCAUUCACAGCCAAUCUUCCUCUACAGAAAGCAACACAGUUGUUUGUUGUGGGGUAAAAAUGGCACUGAACAGAGGUUAUAUUAUCAUGUUGGUGGUGCUCAUCAUUGCAAUUGUUCUUCCACAUAUUUGUUCUGCCGAUACCCAUAGCCCAGCUCCUGGCCCAGCCAACCAUGGAAUUGGGAUUGGGCAAGGCAUUGAAGGAUACAUGUUUAUGAUGGUCGCCUUGGUGUUUGGCUAUCUUCUCAAUGGUCUGUUUUGAACAGGCUAUGACUAUACUUCCACUAUGAAUAAAUCUGUAUAUUGAGAUAUUCAUUUCUAUAUUGUCUUUCAGUUCUCACACAUUUGUGUGAAGCAGUCAGCUUCAUUUAAAUUCUACUCUAAUAAAUGUGGUAAUGUUCAGUGCCAUUUCUCAUAUAGAAUGGCAGGACUUGCUUAUGAUUAUAUAUUUUAACAAGAAUUCUUCUAUUCUAGCCCAAGUUGGGAAUAGAUUAAACUUGAUGAUCUCAUCUUCUCCAUUUAUGUUUUGAACAUUAUUUCUCUCUGGUUUACAUGUUUAAGUAAAAGUAGGGUUUUUUCUGACGUUUUCGUUUCAGAUGGUUUUUCUUGCAACAUCUUCUCCUUUGUGGUGACCCAUCUGAAACACAAUUCCACAGAGAGGAGACCGAAAUUAAGUUGUAGAGUGAAGUUUUUGUACAGUUAUAAAUCGAUAUUCAAACU